AGACGGGGUUUCACCAUGUUGGCCAGGCUGGUCUGGAACUCCUGACCUCAGGUGACCCGCCCCCCCCGCCUCCCAAAGUGCUGGGAUUACAGGUGUGAUUAAUGCCCCCGGCCAAGAGUGACUAAGCUUUAAGCAAAGUGCUGUACCCCUGGCUAAUUGGGAUGUGGUGGGGCGGUAAUUGUUACUUCUAGGCUUAAAAGGGAAGGGCCUGAAACAAUUCCCUGAAGCUGGAGAGUAAUAUGUGCAUAGAAGGCC
rnacentral:lncRNA from 1 species